rnacentral:rRNA from 1 species
AAAUUGAAGAGUUUGAUCAUGGCUCAGAUUGAACGCUGGCGGCAGGCCUAACACAUGCAAGUCGAGCGGUAGCACAGAGAGCUUGCUCUCGGGUGACGAGCGGCGGACGGGUGAGUAAUGUCUGGGAAACUGCCUGAUGGAGGGGGAUAACUACUGGAAACGGUAGCUAAUACCGCAUAAUGUCGCAAGACCAAAGUGGGGGACCUUCGGGCCUCAUGCCAUCAGAUGUGCCCAGAUGGGAUUAGCUAGUAGGUGGGGUAACGGCUCACCUAGGCGACGAUCCCUAGCUGGUCUGAGAGGAUGACCAGCCACACUGGAACUGAGACACGGUCCAGACUCCUACGGGAGGCAGCAGUGGGGAAUAUUGCACAAUGGGCGCAAGCCUGAUGCAGCCAUGCCGCGUGUGUGAAGAAGGCCUUCGGGUUGUAAAGCACUUUCAGCGGGGAGGAAGGCGGUGAGGUUAAUAACCUCAUCGAUUGACGUUACCCGCAGAAGAAGCACCGGCUAACUCCGUGCCAGCAGCCGCGGUAAUACGGAGGGUGCAAGCGUUAAUCGGAAUUACUGGGCGUAAAGCGCACGCAGGCGGUCUGUCAAGUCGGAUGUGAAAUCCCCGGG